AUUGAACGCUGGCGGCAGGCUUAACACAUGCAAGUCGAGCGGAGAGAGGUAGCUUGCUACUGAUCUUAGCGGCGGACGGGUGAGUAAUGCUUAGGAAGCUGCCUAUUAGUGGGGGACAACAUUUCGAAAGGAAUGCUAAUACCGCAUACGUCCUACGGGAGAAAGCAGGGGAUCUUCGGACCUUGAGCUAAUAGAUGAGCCUAAGUCGGAUUAGCUAGUUGGUGGGGUAAAGGCCUACCAAGGCGACGAUCUGUAGCGGGUCUGAGAGGAUGAUCCGCCACACUGGGACUGAGACACGGCCCAGACUCCUACGGGAGGCAGCAGUGGGGAAUAUUGGACAAUGGGGGGAACCCUGAUCCAGCCAUGCCGCGUGUGUGAAGAAGGCCUUUUGGUUGUAAAGCACUUUAAGCGGGGAGGAGGCUACUAGUACUAAUAUUACUGGAUAGUGGACGUUACCCGCAGAAUAAGCACCGGCUAACUCUGUGCCAGCCGCCGCAGUAA
rnacentral:rRNA from 1 species